UCGUGAUUGUCAAUUAAUUUAUAAUUCAAAACAUAUUUUUAUUUAUAACUCUUAAGUUUGUACAGCGUUUACUAAAUUAUAUUAAAUCAAUAACAAACGUAAAUUUCUGAUAUUUUUCAAACUAUUUGCGCCGUUGGUAAAAUUUUGAUCUUAUUCCAAUUUCUUCUAUGAAGAAAGAUGAUUGGUUAAAUUAAACUGAAAGGUCUUUUGAUACACAAACUAGUUUCUAAAAAAAAGAAACUGCUCCUUUUCUCAAAACAAUAUUUUUUGGUGAUUUACUUAAAUUCCAGGUGAAAAUUUUCAUUUGGAACGAACCCACUUUGCCUUUUAAUGUACACAGAUAAAGAAGGUUUAGCAUAAGCUACUAAAUUUGAGAUAUGUGGAAAUGGUUAUAAAAGGUAAAGAAACCCAUUAAACAGUCAUCUGUUGAUAUAAUGAAACUUGUGGAAUGUCAUAACACUUUACAUUUGUAAAUUUGUAAUACAAAACCUUUCUGAGUUGUACAAUUGUAUUACUGCAAACUGAAACAGAAACUCAAAUAGUUAGUUUGUGAAAUACGGAUGGUAAUUAUACUGUCAACAUUCAAUGAAGUUAAUAUUACAUUUAUACAGUAAUGCAUGUUCGAGAUGAAGGAAUAAAAAUUGUUCAACCUUUAUAUUGGAAAUAAGUUAAAACGCAUAAGAGAAACAGGUUUGUUGAAGUGUUACCGUACAGAGGAACAGGUUUGUUAAAAAGUUUGUUACCGUAUGGAGGAACAGGUUUGUUAGAAAGUUUGUUACCGUAGGUUAGCGAGACGGCACAAUCACAGCUGGUCUGUUGGACCCCGGUCCCCUGAUUGUCAGGCGAUUGUGUCCUCUAGGGGACCCGCUAAGGCGAUGAUCUCGUCACAGCUGAUAGCUGUUGGACCCCCAGGUCCCCUGCGGUCCCCUCAAUCCCUCGUUCACAUUAUCAACCGUUUCUUUAUCUUUGCAGAUUGAUUACGAUUAAGCCGUACAUCGCGGACAAUGCCGUUGUCGUAAGUACACACUUACGUUGACACUAAUUUAGUAUUUGUACCCAUUGUUCCAUACUCCAUCCGUGGUGCAGCGUUAGGUUAUUGCUUACUUGGUUUUGCAUGACUACUGCCUUGUAGGACUUGGUGCUUUCGCUGCACUGACCCUGUGUUCUUCCACCACUUUUGACAAAUAUAUGUGCGCUAUUUCGACAA